CAGCCGCCGCGGUAAUACGAAGGGGGCUAGCGUUGCUCGGAAUUACUGGGCGUAAAGGGCGCGUAGGCGGACAGUUCAGUCGGGGGUGAAAGCCCGGGGCUCAACCUCGGAAUUGCCUUCGAUACUGGCUGUCUUGAGUAUGAGAGAGGUGUGUGGAACUCCGAGUGUAGAGGUGAAAUUCGUAGAUAUUCGGAAGAACACCAGUGGCGAAGGCGACACACUGGCUCAUUACUGACGCUGAGGCGCGAAAGCGUGGGGAGCAAACAGGAUUAGAUACCCCCGUAGUCCCUGUCUCUUAUAC
rnacentral:rRNA from 1 species